AUUUAGGAAUUUUAUUAUUAUUAGUUGAGUUGAGUUGAGUCGAGACUUAUUAGUAUGUCCUAGUUUAUUUAAUUUAGUAUUCCUAAUUAGAAUUAAAAUUGGGUUUCUGUAUCCUAAUGUGAUUCUGAUUUAAACUUUAUAAAUAUUCCUAGGUUUUUUUCUAUUACUAUUAGCUUUUGAAUAUUAUGAUUAUUAUUGAGAAUAAA
rnacentral:misc_RNA from 1 species